AAGUCGUAACAAGGUCUCCGUUGGUGAACCAGCGGAGGGAUCAUUACCGAGUUUACAACUCCCAAACCCAUGUGAACAUUACCUCUAUGUUGCUUCGGCGGAGCCGCCCCGGCGCCCGGAACCCCCUGCGGUCCCGCGGCCCGGAACCAAGGCGCCCGCCGGAGGCCACAAACUCUUCUGUUUUUACAGUCUCUUCUGAGUGUGCCGCAAGGCAGUAUACAAAUGAAUCAAAACUUUCAACAACGGAUCUCUUGGUUCUGGCAUCGAUGAAGAACGCAGCGAAAUGCGAUAAGUAAUGUGAAUUGCAGAAUUCAGUGAAUCAUCGAAUCUUUGAACGCACAUUGCGCCCGCCAGAAUUCUGGCGGGCAUGCCCGUUCGAGCGUCAUUUCAACCCUCGAGCUCCCCUUUCGGGGGGAGCCCGGCGUUGGGGACCCGGCGCUAACAACGCCGGCCCCGAAAUGGAGUGGCGGCCCGUCCGCGGCGACCUCUGCGUAGUAACAACCACUCGCACCGGGACCCGGGCGCGGCCACGCCGUAAGACACCCCACCUUCCGAAUGUUGACCUCGAAUCAGGUAGGAAUACCCGCUGAACUUAA
rnacentral:rRNA from 1 species